ACGGGUGAGUAACACGUAUCCAACCUGCCGUCUACUCUUGGACAGCCUUCUGAAAGGAAGAUUAAUACAAGAUGGCAUCAUGAGUCCGCAUGUUCACAUGAUUAAAGGUAUUCCGGUAGACGAUGGGGAUGCGUUCCAUUAGAUAGUAGGCGGGGUAACAGCCCACCUAGUCUUCGAUGGAUAGGGGUUCUGAGAGGAAGGUCCCCCACAUUGGAACUGAGACACGGUCCAA
rnacentral:rRNA from 1 species